GCCCUUCGACUGCUAUUUGGGUGAGAAUAAGCCAUGCGAGUUGAAUGGGAUACCUAAAGUUCCCAUAGCAAACUGCUCAGUAACACAUGAUCAACUUACCCUAUAGAGAAAAAUAACCUCGGGAAACUGUGGAUAAUGUUUCAUAAUUGAAUUGGCUUGGAAAAGUUUUUCAAUGAAAAGGAUAAAAAAAAUGGUUUUUAUCUGCUAUAGGAUAGGAUCGUGUUCGAUUAUGGUUGUUGGUGAGAUAAUGGCUCACCAAGCCGAUAAUCGAUAGGGGCCGUGAGAGCGGGAGCCCCGAGAUGGGUACUGAGACAACGACCCAGGCCUUACGAGGCGCAGCAGGCGCGGAACCUCCGCAAUACACGAAAGUGUGACGGGGUUACCCAAAGUGUUCAAUAGAACUGUGGUAGGUGAGUAAUGUCCCCUACUAGAAAGGAGAGGGCAAGGCUGGUGCCAGCCGCCGCGGUAAAACCAGCUCUUCAAGUGGUCGGGAUAAUUAUUGGGCUUAAAGUGUCCGUAGCCGGUUUAGUAAGUUCCUGGUAAAAUCGGGUAGCUUAACUAUCUGCAUGCUAGGAAUACUGCUAUACUAGAGGGCGGGAGAGGUCUGAGGUACUACAGGGGUAGGGGUGAAAUCUUAUAAUCCUUGUAGGACCACCAGUGGCGAAGGCGUCAGACUGGAACGCGCCUGACGGUGAGGGACGAAAGCCAGGGGAGCGAACCGGAUUAGAUACCCGGGUAGUCCUGGCCGUAAACGAUGCAUACUAGGUGAUGGUACGGCCAUGAGCCGUAUCAGUGCCGUAGGGAAACCGUUAAGUGUGCCGCCUGGGAAGUACGGUCGCAAGGCUAAAACUUAAAGGAAUUGGCGGGGGAGCACAAGGGC
rnacentral:rRNA from 1 species